UAAAAGCAGUCCACCCCAGCCAGCUGCCAGGACCGGCUGAGAUGUUUUUCCGUGUUGUGUAAGCUUUGUUCUUUCGCUGUUCACAAUAAAUCUUGCUGCUCACUCUUGGGUCUGCACCGCCUUUGUGAGCUGUAACACUCACUGCCAAGGUCUGCAGCUUCACUCCUGAAGCCAGCUAGACCACGAGCCCACCAGAAGGAAGAAACUCUGGACACAUCUGAACAGCAUCUGAAGGAACAAACUCCGGACACACCAUGUUUAAGAACUGUAACACUCACCGCGAGGGUCCGCGGCUUCAUCAAGUCAGUGAGUUGGAGAACCCACCAACUCUGGAAACACCACCAGUGUGGUAGCCUAAGCAGGUUAUUUUGGUUUUCAUAUAUUGUGGCUGGACAGGGUUCCAAAAGAGAAAGAGAGACUGGAAGUAUUCAAAGACUUUUGAAGCCUGGGCUUGUAUCUUGCCUCUCCUGACUCCCACUGCAUUUUAUUGGCCAAAGAAAUUCAAAAGAUUAAAAAGAACAAAUAAGAGACUCUGAGUUUUUAAUGGUAGGACUUGGGAAAUGGAGCCGUUAUAGGUAAAGGGGAAUGAUUAUGGCCGUCUAUGUAGUCUACCAUACAGGUACCAUGCUAAGGUUUGGAUAACAUAUUACUCGUAUCUGUAGAGGUAAAGGUGACUAUCAGAAGAAAUAUCAUAGCACAUACAUGGUCAGUGGGAUAGUUGUUUUAGCUUCAUAUUUACUUUUGUUUCUGUAAUCUAUGCCGUUCUACUCAUUGAUCAAUAAGCAUAACUUGGACUUUCUUGCCUUCA